CGCAGCUUGCACAGAAGGUAUGGGAAUGGCAUUACUGCUUUAUUCUUUGCCUUGGUCUACACAGGAAUAAAGCAAGACAAGGUCUUGCAAUGUUGCUCAGGCUGUUCUUGAACUCCUAGAUAAGAAGAAACUGGUGCCUAAGGUCACACUGAUAAUAGAUGAAGUGAUGGAGCAAGGAUUCAACCGCCAGCAGUUCGGUUCCUCAGCCUCCCCCGAUCUCAUAUGCUACUCAUGACCAUCUGUUACACCUUAGAGGGAAUCUAAAUCAUCUAAUCACUAAAUGAUGCGCCCACUGCUUCAUCUCUACUUAUACAGUGAAAGAUCAUCGCUUUCAUCAAAGGUAUUUUGAGCAUCAAAUUGGAAAUCCUGGGAAACUCCUGGGCGUGGAGGACCUCAGAUGUCACCCUGCAGCUUUCUCUGUCUCUGAGAACAGAUCUAGAGCCUUAGUGCCAUCGCCACUACAGAUGGGCUAAAUUCAAGGACUG
rnacentral:lncRNA from 10 species